UACGAAGGGGGCUAGCGUUGCUCGGAAUCACUGGGCGUAAAGGGUGCGUAGGCGGGUCUUUAAGUCAGGGGUGAAAUCCUGGAGCUCAACUCCAGAACUGCCUUUGAUACUGAAGAUCUUGAGUUCGGGAGAGGUGAGUGGAACUGCGAGUGUAGAGGUGAAAUUCGUAGAUAUUAGGAAGAACACCAGUGGCGAAGGCGGCCAACUGGCCCGAUACUGACGCUCAUGUGCGAAAGCGUGGGGAGCAAACAGG
rnacentral:rRNA from 1 species